GGAGCGGUAGUUCAGUUGGUUAGAAUACCGGCCUGUCACGCCGGGGGUCGCGGGUUCGAGUCCCGUCCGCU
rnacentral:tRNA from 2 species